AGAGUUUGAUCCUGGCUCAGGAUGAACGCUGGCGGCGUGCUUAACACAUGCAAGUCGAACGGAGCAAUCUGAUGAAGUUUUCUGAUGGAUUCAGGCUGCUUAGUGGCGGACGGGUGAGUAACGCGUGGGUAACCUGCCUCACACUGGGGGAUAACACUUAGAAAUAGGUGCUAAUACCGCAUAAGCGCACAGGACCGCAUGGUCCGGUGUGAAAAACUCCGGUGGUGUGAGAUGGACCCGCGUCUGAUUAGGUAGUUGGUGAGGUAACGGCCCACCAAGCCCACGAUCAGUAGCCGGCCUGAGAGGGUGGACGGCCACAUUGGGACUGAGACACGGCCCAGACUCCUACGGGAGGCAGCAGUGGGGAAUAUUGCACAAUGGGGGAAACCCUGAUGCAGCGACGCCGCGUGAGUGAAGAAGUAUUUCGGUAUGUAAAGCUCUAUCAGCAGGGAAGAAAGUGACGGUACCUGAGUAAGAAACCCCGGCUAACUACGUGCCAGCAGCCGCGGUAAUACGUAGGGGGCAAGCGUUAUCCGGAUUUACUGGGUGUAAAGGGAGCGUAGACGGCAAGGCAAGUCUGAAGUGAAAACCCAGUGCUCAACGCUGGGAUUGCUUUGGAAACUGUUUAGCUGGAGUGCCGGAGAGGUAAGCGGAAAUCCUAGUGUAGCGGUGAAAUGCGUAGAUAUUAGGAAGAACACCAGUGGCGAAGGCGGCUUACUGGACGGUAACUGACGUUGAGGCUCGAAAGCGUGGGGAGCAAACAGAAUUAGAUACCCUGGUAGUCCACGCCGUAAACGAGCCUCCAAGGUGUAGGUGGGGUAUGGACCCCUCUCGGGCCGCAGCUACACGCAAUAAAGCAAUCCACUUGGGGAGUACGUUCGCAAGAAUGAAACUCAAAGGAAUUGACGGGGACCCGCUACAAGCGGUGGAGCAUGUGGGAUAAUUUGAAGCAACGCGAAGAACCUCUACCAAGUCUUGCCAUCCCUCUGACCGGCCCGUAACGGGGCCUUCUCUUCGGAGCAGAGGAGACAGGUGGUGCAUGGUUGUCGUCAGCUCGUGUCGUGAGAUGUUGGGUUAAGUCCCGCAACGAGCGCAACCCCUAUUCUUAGUAGCCAGCAUAUAAGGUGGGCACUCUAAGGAGACUGCCGGGGAUAACCCGGAGGAAGGUGGGGAUGACGUCAAAUCAUCAUGCCCCUUAUGAUUUGGGCUACACACGUGCUACAAUGGCGUAAACAAAGGGAAGCGAGAUGGUGACAUUGAGCAAAUCCCAAAAAUAACGUCCCAGUUCGGACUGUAGUCUGCAACCCGACUACACGAAGCUGGAAUCGCUAGUAAUCGCGGAUCAGAAUGCCGCGGUGAAUACGUUCCCGGGUCUUGCACUAACCGCCCGUCA
rnacentral:rRNA from 1 species